rnacentral:rRNA from 1 species
GACGAACGCUGGCGGCGUGCCUAAUACAUGCAAGUCGAGCGAGGUUUUUCUGGUGCUUGCACCGGAAAAACUUAGCGGCGAACGGGUGAGUAACACGUAAAGAACCUGCCUCAUAGACUGGGACAACUAUUGGAAACGAUAGCUAAUACCGGAUAACAGCAUUAACUGCAUGGUUGAUGUUUAAAAGUUGGUUUUGCUAACACUAUGAGAUGGCUUUGCGGUGCAUUAGCUAGUUGGUGGGGUAAAGGCCUACCAAGGCGACGGGUAGCCGGCCUGAGAGGGUGGACGGCCACAUUGGGACUGAGACACGGCCCAGACUCCUACGGGAGGCAGCAGUGGGGAAUAUUGCACAAUGGGCGCAAGCCUGAUGCAGCGACGCCGCGUGGGGGAUGGAAGGCCUUCGGGUUGUAAACUCCUUUCGCCCGGGACGAAGCCCACCUGGUGGGUGACGGUACCGUGGAGAAGAAGCACCGGCUAACUACGUGCCAGCAGCCGCGGUAAUACGUAGGGUGCAAGCGUUGUCCGGAUUUACUGGGCGUAAAGAGCUCGUAGGUGGUGUGUCGCGUCGUCUGUGAAAUUCCGGGGCUUAACUCCGGGCGUGCAGGCGAUACGGGCACGACUAGAGUGCUGUAGGGGUAACUGGAAUUCCUGGUGUAGCGGUGAAAUGCGCAGAUAUCAGGAGGAACACCGAUGGCGAAGGCAGGUUACUGGGCAGUUACUGACGCUGAGGAGCGAAAGCAUGGGGAGCGAACAGGAUUAGAUACCCUGGUAGUCCAUGCUGUAAACGGUGGGCGCUAGGUGUGGGCUGUGUGUUUGCAGUCUGUGCCGUAGCUAACGCAUUAAGCGCCCCGCCUGGGGAGUACGGCCGCAAGGCUAAAACUCAAAGGAAUUGACGGGGGCCCGCACAAGCGGCGGAGCAUGUGGAUUAAUUCGAUGCAACGCGAAGAACCUUACCUGGGUUUGACAUGCACCAGAUCGGCGUAGAGAUACGUUUUCCCUUGUGGUUGGUGCACAGGUGGUGCAUGGUUGUCGUCAGCUCGUGUCGUGAGAUGUUGGGUUAAGUCCCGCAACGAGCGCAACCCUUGUCUUAUGUUGCCAGCACAUUUUUGGUGGGGACUCAUGAGAAACUGCCGGGGUCAACUCGGAGGAAGGUGGGGAUGACGUCAAAUCAUCAUGCCCUUUAUACCCAGGGCUUCACACAUGCUACAAUGGUCGGUACAACGGGUUGCGACACUGUGAAGUGAAGCUAAUCUCUUAAAGCCGGCCUCAGUUCGGAUUGGGGUCUGCAACUCGACCCCAUGAAGUCGGAGUCGCUAGUAAUCGCAGAUCAGCAACGCUGCGGUGAAUACGUUCCCGGGCCU